rnacentral:rRNA from 1 species
GACGAACGCUGGCGGCGUGCUUAACACAUGCAAGUCGAACGGAAAGGCCCUGCUUUUGUGGGGUGCUCGAGUGGCGAACGGGUGAGUAACACGUGAGUAACCUGCCCUUGACUUUGGGAUAACUUCAGGAAACUGGGGCUAAUACCGGAUAGGAGCUCCUGCUGCAUGGUGGGGGUUGGAAAGUUUCGGCGGUUGGGGAUGGACUCGCGGCUUAUCAGCUUGUUGGUGGGGUAGUGGCUUACCAAGGCUUUGACGGGUAGCCGGCCUGAGAGGGUGACCGGCCACAUUGGGACUGAGAUACGGACCAGAAUCCUACGGGAGGCAGCAGUGGGGAAUAUGGCACAAUGGGCGGAAGCCUGAGGCAGCAACGCCGCGUGCGGGAUGACGGCCUUCGGGUUGUAAACCGCUUUCGCAUGUGACGAAGCGUGAGUGACGGUAAUGGGUAAAGAAGCACCGGCUAACUACGUG